GGAAGCUUAGAGACAGAUUUGUGGUCCAACAACGGUAAGUGUAUGAUCAUGUCUAAUUCUCAUGCAGGACUGAUCCCUGGCUUCACCCUAGCUUGUCUUCUUCCUCCUUGCUUUUAACAUAUGCAUUUUAUUAUAACCAUGUAUUCGUAUAAGCCACUUUAAAUCUCUCCUGAAGCCAAGUGAAAUAACUUUGUAAGUAGGUACUGUUCUAGGUCCUUGCCUAUGGCGUAUUCCCUCUUGAUCUUUGCCAUUGUUAACAUCCCCAUUGCACAGAUGAGGACACUGAAGCGCAGAGAGGUGAAACAAGCAAGCCAGGCUCAGGGCAACGAGUGAAUCAUCUGUGAACACUUCCUGUGAACGUGUGACUAUGAUUAUGGAACACUCUGUUGCAUCAAGAUGGCCAGAGAUUGUCUCAGAGUCCAGGCAGUGGGAGGAGGGGGGAUUUGUUUCCUGGCUGGGUGGUCGUAGGGCAUCAAGGGAUGAGCAGCUUUGGUUGUCUGGGAUUUCAGCAGCUUGAGGGGAGCUGUAGGGCCCCAGAGCUGUCGCUGUGGCUGUGGUGUCAGAAAUGUAAGCAAGGUGCCUCCAUGGAGGUUAGCGAGGGUGCCCCUCUGAAUGCCGGGUGGAAUGCAACCUUUCGCAUGGAGGAGGCCCUCAGCAGCUGACCUCUGUCUUCCCUGUGUAGAGGGAGGGAGGCUGAGGCUGGGGCUGAGCGAGGGGUAAAGUAAGCCACGUGUCUCAUCAGCUAGCCUGCAGCAAGCACAGCCCUCUGGGAGGGCUGGUUCUAUCCUCCUCCUUGGUGUGAAAUCCAUCAAUCUAAUAGGGAUCCUUAUUUUCCCAGCCACCAAGUCACAAUGAGCAAUAAUCUCUUCUUGUUGGUGCAUAUAAAUUUGCUUCAUUCUUUUUUAAA
ensembl:lncRNA NTRAS non-coding transcript regulating alternative splicing